GAUGAACGCUGGCGGCGUGCCUAAUACAUGCAAGUCGAGCGAACGGAUGAGAAGCUUGCUUCUUUGAUGUUAGCGGCGGACGGGUGAGUAACACGUGGAUAACCUACCUAUAAGACUGGGAUAACUUCGGGAAACCGGAGCUAAUACUGGAUAAUAUUUUGAACCGCAUGGUUCAAAAGUGAAAGACGGUCUUGCUGUCACUUAUAGAUGGAUCCGCGCUGCAUUAGCUAGUUGGUAAGGUAACGGCUUACCAAGGCAACGAUGCAUAGCCGACCUGAGAGGGUGAUCGGCCACACUGGAACUGAGACACGGUCCAGACUCCUACGGGAGGCAGCAGUAGGGAAUCUUCCGCAAUGGGCGAAAGCCUGACGGAGCAACGCCGCGUGAGUGAUGAAGGUCUUCGGAUCGUAAAACUCUGUUAUUAGGGAAGAACAUAUGUGUAAGUAACUGUGCACAUCUUGACGGUACCUAAUCAGAAAGCCACGGCUAACUACGUG
rnacentral:rRNA from 1 species